AUCCAGCUGACGAGUCCUAAAUAAGACGAAACGCGCGUCAAACUGGAU
rfam:Schistosoma curassoni strain Dakar, Senegal genome assembly, scaffold: SCTD_scaffold0010791